rnacentral:rRNA from 1 species
GUACAUGCCGUAUUAAGGCGAAACCGCGAAUGGCUCAUUAAAUCAGUUAUGGUUCCUUGGAUCGUACCUUACUACUUGGAUAACUGUGGUAAUUCUAGAGCUAAUACAUGCAGCAGAGCUCCGACCUUCGGGGAAGAGCGCUUUUAUUAGACCAAGACCAAUCGGACUCCGUCCGUCUCCCGUGGUGACUCUGAAUAACUUUGGGCUGAUCGCACGGGCCCGUCCCGGCGACGUAUCUUUCAAGUGUCUGCCUUAUCAACUUUCGAUGGUAGGUUACGCGCCUACCAUGGUCGUAACGGGUAACGGGGAAUCAGGGUUCGAUUCCGGAGAGGGAGCCUGAGAAACGGCUACCACAUCCAAGGAAGGCAGCAGGCGCGCAAAUUACCCACUCCCGGAACGGGGAGGUAGUGACGAAAAAUAACAAUACGGGACUCUUUUGAGACCCCGUAAUUGGAAUGAGUACACUCUAAAUCCUUUAACGAGGAUCCAUUGGAGGGCAAGUCUGGUGCCAGCCGCCGCGGUAACUCCAGCUCCAAUAGCGUAUAUUAAAGUUGUUGCGGUUAAAAAGCUCGUAGUUGGAUCUCAGUUCCAGACGGGUGGUCCGCCUACCGGUGGUUACUGCCUGUUCUGAACAGCCAGCCGGUUUCUCUUGAUGAUCUUCACCGGUUGUCUUGGGUGACCGGCAAGUUUACUUUGAAAAAAUUAGAGUGCUCAAAGCAGGCGCGACGCCUGAAUAAUGGUGCAUGGAAUAAUGGAAUAGGACCUCGGUUCUAUUUUGUUGGUUUUCGGAACACGAGGUAAUGAUUAAGAGGGACAGACGGGGGCAUUCGUAUUGCGACGCUAGAGGUGAAAUUCUUGGACCGUCGCAGGACGAACUACUGCGAAAGCAUUUGCCAAGAAUGUUUCCAUUAAUCAAGAACGAAAGUUAGAGGUUCGAAGGCGAUCAGAUACCGCCCUAGUUCUAACCAUAAACGAUGCCAGCCAGCGAUCCGGCUGUGUUCCUCAAAUGACACGCCGGGCAGCUUCCGGGAAACCAAAGCUUUUGGGUUCCGGGGGAAGUAUGGUUGCAAAGCUGAAACUUAAAGGAAUUGACGGAAGGGCACCACCAGGAAUGGAGCCUGCGGCUUAAUUUGACUCAACACGGGAAAACUCACCCGGCCCGGACACAGGAAGGAUUGACAGAUUAAGAGCUCUUUCUUGAUUCUGUGGGUGGUGGUGCAUGGCCGUUCUUAGUUGGUGGAGCGAUUUGUCUGGUUAAUUCYGAUAACGAACGAGACUCUAGCCUACUAAAUAGACGCUCCGGUGGAUCUCGC